rnacentral:rRNA from 1 species
GGCAGCAGUAAGGAAUAUUGGACAAUGGGCGCAAGCCUGAUCCAGCCAUCCCGCGUGUAGGAUGACUGCCCUAUGGGUUGUAAACUACUUUUAGAUAGGAAGAAACCCCUGGAUUUAUCUGGGGCUGACGGUACUAUCAGAAUAAGCACCGGCUAACUCCGUGCCAGCAGCCGCGGUAAUACGGAGGGUGCAAGCGUUAUCCGGAAUCACUGGGUUUAAAGGGUGCGUAGGCUGGUAGAUAAGUCAGAGGUGAAAGCCUUCCGCUUAACGGGAGAAUUGCCUUUGAUACUGUUUAUCUUGAAUGAGGUUGAGGUUAGCGGAAUGUGACAUGUAGCGGUGAAAUGCAUAGAUAUGUCAUAGAACACCAAUUGCGUAGGCAGCUAACUAGGCCUUUAUUGACGCUGAGGCACGAAAGCAUGGGGAGCGAACAGGAUUAGAUACCCUGGUAGUCCAUGCCCUAAACGAUGCUAACUCGAUGUUUGGGUUAUAGACUUGAGCAUCCAAGGGAAACCGUUAAGUUAGCCACCUGGGGAGUACGUCGGCAACGAUGAAACUCAAAUGAAUUGACGG